rnacentral:rRNA from 1 species
GACGAACGCUGGCGGCGUGCCUAAUACAUGCAAGUAGAACGCUGAAGGAGGAGCUUGCUUCUCCGGAUGAGUUGCGAACGGGUGAGUAACGCGUAGGUAACCUGCCUGGUAGCGGGGGAUAACUAUUGGAAACGAUAGCUAAUACCGCAUAAGAGUAGAUGUUGCAUGACAUUUGCUUAAAAGGUGCAAUUGCACCACUACCAGAUGGACCUGCGUUGUAUUAGCUAGUUGGUGGGGUAACGGCUCACCAAGGCGACGAUACAUAGCCGACCUGAGAGGGUGAUCGGCCACACUGGGACUGAGACACGGCCCAGACUCCUACGGGAGGCAGCAGUAGGGAAUCUUCGGCAAUGGACGGAAGUCUGACCGAGCAACGCCGCGUGAGUGAAGAAGGUUUUCGGAUCGUAAAGCUCUGUUGUAAGAGAAGAACGAGUGUGAGAGUGGAAAGUUCACACUG